rnacentral:tRNA from 1 species
UAGCUCAGUCUGGUAGAGCGCUACGUUCGGGACGUAGAGGUCGCAGGUUCGAAUCCUG